rnacentral:lncRNA from 1 species
AUCAGUUAGGGGGCUCGUUCAGUUCUCUAGGUGAGGACUGUCCUGGUGGCUUGUCCUGGAUGGUGGCUGGGGAAGUGGAUGCCUGAAUGCCAGGCUCUGGAGAAGAGAUGACUCCCUGCCCCAUCCCCCUGCCUACCCUCCUCCUCAAUGGCCCCUCUCUCAGUGGAUGUGAGUGAGGAUUAGGACCUUCCCCACAGAGCCACCUUUUGGCCAGGCCUCGUGGGGGAUAGUGGGGGCAGUGCUGAGUUCUAGGAGUGUUCCUGGAAGUUGGGGGCAGUGAGUGCUCAGCCUGGCCCAGGUGGGAGAGUUCACUGCUGCCCAGGCCUUAGCAGGGGCUGCUGUGCUGUCUUUCUGUCCCAUGCUGAGCAUUGUGAUAGGAAGCUGCCACACAGUGCCCUGGAAACUGACUUCGCAUGCUUUCCAUGGGGCUUCCGAGGGCCAGGGACUGGGCUGGGGGUGGCCUAGCAGCUCUAGUGGAGACUGUGCUGCCGCAGGGCUGAAGGAAGACCAACCAAGGGGACAGCCGUUUGAGCCCAGCCCACUCACUGCCUGCUGCACCUCCAGCUGGAGCCCAGGGUUGGGCAGCUCUCAUACUCUUAUCUAACUGCCAGACCUAGAGGGAGGGAAGCCCAAGGCUGCAGGUCUGAGGGACACGGCUCAUGGGCAAAAGGGUAUCAAGAGGAUUAGAGUCACUUGCAUAGGAAAAGAGGGUCAGAGAGGCUGAGGGCUGGCUGAGGCCAGAGAGGUUCCCUGACCUUGGACAUUCUUUGUGUUGUGUAAGACCUCGGCAUCUUUAGAGAAAGGUUCUUGUGCCCCUGUGAGCUUGCUCAGCUGCUAUGGCCACUUGAACCCCAAAAAUGGUGGCCUAGAAGAGAAUACACCCCUUACUUCCCACUUAUCCUCCUCUCAACCUAGGAAAGAUCAGACAUAUUGACUCAACAGUCUAACAGGGGAUGGGCUGGAUCUGCCCGUGACCAGACCAAUGCCCCCCACCCAGCAAGGGAGUAAACGCUGCCUGAAGUGGGACCAGUGAUACACAGCAUCUCUGUCUGCCAGGGCUCAGCCCGCGGGGGGGAUUUGUGAGAGGCUGAGCAGCUGGGUCUGCACAGACAGCAAGCUGCACUUUGAUUUCAUUUGAUUCCCUUACAAAAUGACAUUAAGGGGAAUGUGAGGCACAGGAGACUCGCCUGUCUGGGAAGGCAGCAAGCUCAUCUCUCCUGGACCUGGUGACCUACCUCUGUCUACCAGACAGGUGCAGAGGACAGGAGCUCUGGCCACAAAGAAAUGGACAGUCUGAAUGCAGCACACAGCCCUGGGGACAGGACUUUUCACCCAGCCUGUCCUGACAAGCUGCUGAGUCGAGCAGAUGCUCACAUCAGGGUCCCAGGUCCGGCUGUUAGGGAAGUGGACAUCAGUUCCUGGUGGGCCCUGGGCAGUGACUGUGGUGAGCCACAGCACCAUUGCUGCUCUGCCUCUCAAAUCGAUCGAACAAUUAAUUUGGCUCCACAGGCUCGAGAAGAUGAAACAUGACCUGAUGGCCACUGCUGUCCAGCAUCCCAGUCCAUCCUAGCUGUCCAGGAUGAUGAACAAGCUAUGGAAAUUGCACUUGAGAGCUAUAAUCACGGGAAGCAUUGCCGAGCCCCUCCCUGCUACAUAAAUCAUGCUAAGAAGCACACAAUGGCCUCUUUCCUGAUGGGCUAAUUGUCUUGGUUUGGUGUCUCAGGCCCAGGAGCUGGGAAGAUGGGAGCACAACCAUUUAUUGUUGGAAAGACCAUCUGUGCAACUUGAAUACAAAGUGAUUCUUUUAGUUCCCCACACA